rnacentral:rRNA from 1 species
AGCAGUCGCCGCGGGAAUACGGAGGGUGCAAGCGUUAAUCGGAAUUACUGGGCGUAAAGCGCACGCAGGCGGUUUGUUAAGUCAGAUGUGAAAUCCCCGAGCUUAACUUGGGAACUGCAUUUGAAACUGGCAAGCUAGAGUCUUGUAGAGGGGGGUAGAAUUCCAGGUGUAGCGGUGAAAUGCGUAGAGAUCUGGAGGAAUACCGGUGGCGAAGGCGGCCCCCUGGACAAAGACUGACGCUCAGGUGCGAAAGCGUGGGGAGCAAACAGGAUUAGAUACCCGCGUAGUCCCUGUCUCUUAUAA